UUCUCAACCUCUCAUAUAGAUGAGGGAUGAAAUGAUCGCAGCUGGUGUACCCAGUUGUUAGAGCAUUGGCCACCAAUCCAGUAACUCUGCCUCCAGCUAUUAGUGUGCCAAGAAAAUUUUUGUUAUUCUGAUAUAAUUUUAAACCAGUAUUUCUUGCCAAGGAAGGAGUACCCAGAGAUGAGAAAUCAAUGCCAAUACUAAUUUCUGGAAAUGUGGAGAACCAUGUGAUGUCAAUGCUUCCCUUCUCUUUGGUGCUGUGAUAAAGCUUGGUACUACCAGGUAGCCUAGAUGUCAUUCUCCAUGAAUAGCUCCAUGAUUAUUAUACAAGGAUCAUCAUGCAAAACAGACUUCCAUACUGGUCAUUGUUGUAAAAGAAUACUUAUAUAAAGCACUA
rnacentral:lncRNA from 1 species